GGAGAGUGGGAGCACUAGGCGAUGAUACCUACAUAAGGACGUCAUAACACACGGCGGGCGAUGACCAAUCAUAUCGAGUGGUUUCCAUGACGAAUUUGACGCUAUGCGACGCAAGGCUGGAGACUUUCUUCAAGCAAAGAUGGCUGACAAAAAUGCUACGAUGGAAGCAAAUGGACUCCUGAAACAACCAGCAAACCAGACUGUCUUGUGAAACAGUGGAUGUAAAGAAUCUAGCUAGCUAAAGCAUUUACUGCAAAUUGAAUGUACACUUUUGUAAGCUUGCCUUGCAGAUAUUUGCCAUGCAAUGCAGAUAAUUGAAAUAACGUAGCUAGCUAUGUUCUUGCUUAUUGUGCAGUGGAUGAUAAAACAUACCUGUAUGCCAAUGGAUGUGUAGCUAGCUAUGUAGCCGAUCUGUGUAUGGACCCAAACGUUUGCUAUACAUAUUAGUUCAGAACCUAUGAACCUCAGCUAUCAUAGCCAGGUGUAUCAACUUCAACACAGCCUGAAUGACAUAAAUGAAGCCUAUCGAUUGAGUAGAAUAUAAUAUAACUUU
rnacentral:lncRNA from 1 species